rnacentral:lncRNA from 1 species
CACAUGUCUCCUUUAAUUCCAUGAUAUGAGCUCUGAAAACAAAAAUACUCAAGGCACCAAAAUAUACAUUUUAAGAAUCUAACCAUUUUUAAGCUUUGGUUUGGAUUUCCAUCACCUUUUCCUCCAUAUUUUGAAUAAUUGAUAUUUUCAUGAACAGAUAAAAACCUUCAUUUCAUAUUUUAUGAUCUAGUUGCCAGAUGCAAAUCAAGCUUCUACCUGGGCAUCUGCAUUGCGAUCCCCUUCAAGUACCAUCCUCCACCACUAUGGACAUGAAAGAACCCACGUGGCUUUCUUGUGCCCUGGUGAUACUCCUUCUCCCUUACAGUCCUUAGCACCUAUAUUUUAGAGACAUGCUUGAAAAUUCAUUAGUAUUUGUAAUGUGAAUUUAAAUAUUUACAUUUUAACAUAAUUAUUUUGUAAGAAAACAGAAGUUAAUUCUAUGAUCCUCUUGCAACUUUUUUUUUUUUUUUUUUUGCUAAGAAUAGAAUAGCUAAAGCAGGUCUGGGUCACUUUAUUAGAACUAAGGAAACAUAAUAUGUGAUGCACAGAACUUUAGACAAAUUAGGCAACCCCUUGGGGCCAGUAAACACCCUCCUAGACUAACACAGAACUUGGAACAGGCCCAGUUGAAAAUUUGAAUCAGGUUUGCAGAAAAACAAAGGCUGGCAAGAAUAUAACUUUGGAAGAUUUACUCACUAAUUUUAGAGCUGCUGGAGGCCAACCAAAGAGAUUUGGGUUAUACAUUACCUAAGACUUAUGAUGGGAACUGGACUUACUAAGCCAAUUAAAGAAUGAUUCAUUCAACCAGUCAGUAAUCAGUAACUAGUUAGCAAUCUGUUGAUUUAG